CCUACGGGGGGCAGCAGUGGGGAAUAUUGCACAAUGGGGGAAACCCUGAUGCAGCGACGCCGCGUGAGUGAAUAAGUAAUUCGUUAUGUAAAGCUCUAUCAGCAGGGAAGAAAAUGACGGUACCUGAGUAAGAAGCCCCGGCUAACUACGUGCCAGCAGCCGCGGGAAUACGUAGGGGGCAAGCGUUAUCCGGAUUUACUGGGUGUAAAGGGAGCCUAGAUGGGAGUGCAAGUCUGGAGUGAAAGGCUGGGGGUCAACCCCCGGACUGCUGUGGAAACUGUACGGCUGGAGUGCAGGAGAGGAAAGUGGAAUUCGUGGUGUAGCGGUGAAAUGCGUAGAUAUUAGGAGGAACACCAGUGGCGAAGGCGGCUUACUGGAGUGUAACUGACGUUGAGGCACGAAAGCGCGGGGAGCAAACAGGAUUAGAUACCCUUGUAGUU
rnacentral:rRNA from 1 species